UUUAUGGAGAGUUUGAUCCUGGCUCAGGACGAACGCUGGCGGCGUGCCUAAUACAUGCAAGUCGAGCGAGGCCUUCGGGCCUAGCGGCGGACGGGUGAGUAACACGUGGGUAACCUGCCUGUAAGACUGGGAUAACUUCGGGAAACCGAAGCUAAUACCGGAUAACAUUUUUGGUUGCAUGACCGAAAAUUGAAAGGUGGCUUUUAGCUAUCACUUACAGAUGGACCCGCGGCGCAUUAGCUAGUUGGUGAGGUAACGGCUCACCAAGGCAACGAUGCGUAGCCGACCUGAGAGGGUGAUCGGCCACAC
rnacentral:rRNA from 1 species